rnacentral:tRNA from 1 species
GGCCUCGUAGCCCACUUGGUAGGGCGUGCGCGUACAUUACGUGGGCGGCGUCCAUGCGUGGGUUCGAAUCCCACCGAGACUA